rnacentral:sRNA from 1 species
UUGACAGUGGUGGAGACUGAAGUUCUCUAUUCACAGAACAGGUAUACCAUUGGCACUGGCAGUGACCCCAUGCUGUUGCUUGACAUUUUUGCCCCAGCCAAAACUUGGAGGGAUCAUCUAUUGGUAUGACUUGAGAGCAGAAUUGUCUCAAUUGUUCAUUUAGUCUCUGUCCUUU